rnacentral:rRNA from 1 species
CCUACGGGUGACAGCAGUAGGGAAUCUUCCACAAUGGGCGAAAGCCUGAUGGAGCAACGCCGCGUGGGUGAAGAAGGUCUUCGGAUCGUAAAACCCUGUUGUUAGAGAAGAAAGUGCGUGAGAGUACCUGUUCACGUUUCGACGGUAUCUAACCAGAAAGCCACGGCUAACUACGUGCCAGCAGCCGCGGUAAUACGUAGGUGGCAAGCGUUAUCCGGAUUUAUUUGGCGUAAAGGGAACGCAGGCGGUCUUUUAAGUCUGAUGUGAAAGCCUUCGGCUUAACCGGAGUAGUGCAUUGGAAACUGGGAGACUUGAGUGCAGAAGAGGAGAGUGGAACUCCAUGUGUAGCGGUGAAAUGCGUAGAUAUAUGGAAGAACACCAGUGGCGAAAGCGGCUCUCUGGUCUGUAACUGACGCUGAGGUUCGAAAGCGUGGGUAGCAAACAGGAUUAGAUACCCGGGUAGUC